rnacentral:rRNA from 1 species
GUCUAAACGACUCUCGGCAACGGAUAUCUCGGCUCUCGCAUCGAUGAAGAACGUAGCGAAAUGCGAUACUUGGUGUGAAUUGCAGAAUCCCGUGAACCAUCGAGUCUUUGAACGCAAGUUGCGCCCGAAGCCUUCUGGCCGAGGGCACGUCUGCCUGGGCGUCA